rnacentral:rRNA from 1 species
GAUGAACGCUGGCGGCGUGCCUAACACAUGCAAGUCGAACGUGAGGGGCGUUUUCGGAUGCCCUGAAAGUGGCGAACGGGUGAGUAACACGUAGAUAACCUGCCCUGGAGUGGGGGAUAACCACUGGAAACGGUGGCUAAUACCGCAUAGGCCCUUGAAGUCGGGAGGCUUCGAGGGGAAAGCUCCGGCGCUUCAGGAGGGGUCUGCGUCCGAUUAGCUAGUUGGCGGGGUAACGGCCCACCAAGGCGACGAUCGGUAGCUGGUCUGAGAGGACGAU